UAUAGGACAGUUAAUAGGGGCUUGAAACAGAGCACCUUUUUCUGUCUUUCCUUCUUUUUUUUUUUUUUUUUUNNNNNNNNNNUUUUUUUUUUUUUUUUUUUUGAGAUGGAGUUUUGCUCUUGUUGCCCAGGCUGGAGUGCAAUGGUGCAAUCUCGGCUCACCACAACCUCUGCCUCCCGGGUUCAAGCGAUUCUCCUGCCUCAGCCUCCCGAGUAGCUUUAUGUGUUUGGAAAGUGAGGCUUAGAGUACCUAAUGUAGCCAUCGUGAAGUUACACAUUUGACAAACAGAAAGCUAACAUUUUAAUGCCAUCUGUCAUCUGAUCCCAGGGACUAGUCAUAACCACAAAAUGGAUGAGAGACUAAUAGGUUGAGGGAGAACUAAUAGCAUAUUCUAACAACAUGGAUUAACAUUAAAAUCCAAACAUUAACAUUUAUUGGAAGCUUUAUUUCCUCAUUUUGAUUGAGCAGAUUAAAACUUACCUAUAUGU
rnacentral:lncRNA from 1 species